CCUACGGGUGGCAGCAGUGGGGGAUAUUGCACAAUGGGGGGAACCCUGAUGCAGCGACGCCGCGUGGGUGAAGGAGCGUUUCGGCGCGUAAAGCCCUAUCAGCAGGGAAGAAAAUGACGGUACCUGACUAAGAAGCCCCGGCUAACUACGUGCCAGCAGCCGCGGUCAUACGUAGGGGGCAAGCGUUAUCCGGAUUUACGGGGUGUAAAGGGAGCGUAGGCGGCAGUGCAAGUCAGAAGUGAAAGCCCGGGGCUCAACUCCGGGACUGCUUUUGAAACUGUACAGCUUGAUUGCAGGAGAGGCAAGUGGACUUCCUAGUGUAGCGGUGAAAUGCGUAGAUAUUAGGAGGAACACCAGUGGCGAAGGCGGCUUGCUGGACUGUAAAUGACGCUGAGGCUCGAAAGCGUGGGGAGCAAACAGGAUUAGAUACCCUGGUAGUC
rnacentral:rRNA from 1 species